rnacentral:rRNA from 1 species
UACGGGGGGGGCAAGCGUUGUUCGGAAUUACUGGGCGUAAAGGGCUCGUAGGCGGCCAACUAAGUCAGACGUGAAAUCCCUCGGCUUAACCGGGGAACUGCGUCUGAUACUGGAUGGCUUGAGAUUGGGAGAGGGAUGCGGAAUUCCAGGUGUAGCGGUGAAAUGCGUAGAUAUCUGGAGGAACACCGGUGGCGAAGGCGGGUCUCUGGGCAAUUCCUGACGCUGAGGCGCGAAAGCGUGGGGAGCAAACGGG